GCGGGAGUGGCGGAACAGGUAGACGCGACGGCCUCAAAAGCCGUUGUCCUUCAAGGACUUGAGGGUUCGAGUCCCUCCUCCCGCACCA
rnacentral:tRNA from 1 species